UCCUCUUCACUCUUCCUCUGUAUUCUGUUCGAGAUAUUCUUUCCUAUCCCGAAUAACGCAUUGUAUGUGCUUCUUUUGCAGUGUGGUGCUUUGAUUGCGCCAGUGAUGUGAAACUGUUCUAUAAGGGUGCAGCCCCUUGAGGUGUCUGUCAAGAUGAAUCUGUGAAAUGACCGUAAGAUCCUUAAUUACAUUCACCUGUCUCGUUUUCGUGGCAAAAACACUGGAACCACGGCCUCUGAUCUCGGCGUUGAGCAUAAAGUGACAGAGGACGAUGCCAAAGCAGCCGCUAGGACCUUGACACCUGAACUGAUGGUCGGGAUCGGUUGCAAAAACUGCUCUAGCAGCGAUCUCGCUUACUGCGCCUCGCCGGACGCCAUCAGUGAUCACUGUUGUUGUGAUCGGAAAUUCCAUGAGGUGUUUCCGUACGUUCCGCAUACAUGUUAUAUACGGCCUCACUCAAGGCCGCUGUGCCGAACAGUUGUGGCCCACUGCGGUGAUUUUGCUCGUCUCGUUUUGUGUUGCUGCCACAGGCUCUUGGCCGAUAAAUGGAAAAAUAUCGCAAACGCAUCAGAGAAGCGAUCUCCUGGGCUCAUCGCAUUUAGCUGCGUGAUCAUCUCUCUACUUGUGCCACUACUUUGAGAGACUGCAGAAAUAUAAUCCAGAUAGGAAUUCAGGACAGAAAUAAGCAUUUAAUAUUAAAAGCCUUGAAAAUUGAACGUGUAACGACAAACAAUGAGCUCAUUGACUCAACGUAUGAACGCUCACUGUAUUUCAAGUAAUCGCAAUUCAUUGUCCUACGUGCAAAAAACGAUGGCAUAAUUUAUGCGAUUCACUUAUUCCAACAAUCGUCCGUGUUGCACUUGCAUACUUGCACUUGUUACAUUUUUGUUACUUAGAUUCGUAAGAGUGUAAUAUAAUUCAUUUCCGUAGAGUUUACAAAGCACUGUGAUAUUUAAGUAAGCAAUAAAUGAAUUUCAUUAUUUGAGCUUGUCCAUAGAAUAUUCCAACUCGUUUUUGAAAACGUUACGGAGCAGAAAGCUCUACUAUUUGCUGGUAGGCAAUCAAGCAUGACGCAUGAAGUAAAAAAUAGAUUAUCUGAAACUGACUUACUGAUAAUUGUGCGUUUAUCUUUUGCAAUAUCAUUAACUCAGUGAAAUAACUUUUGCUGAAAGAGGUGCGUCUAAGAGUCUAACCACUCGACUGUAGAAGUGUGCUCUAUAAAUUUAAGGGGAAAAACAAUUCUAUGAAGUAUUUUUCUAAAAAAGCCCCUAAUUGGAAACACGCCUCUCAGAUUUUUGGUUUAAUUAUUGUUGUUGCUAAAUUUUGGCGACGAUUUUAGACGAAAAUUAUAAGCCCAUGAUUCUGACCUGAUUUAAGCGCAAGAAACCUCCCACUAUCUUAGCAUAGCUUGCUGAUCCGAGUUCA
rnacentral:lncRNA from 1 species